rnacentral:rRNA from 1 species
ACGGAGGGUGCAAGCGUUGCUCGGAAUCACUGGGCGUAAAGGGUCCGCAGGCGGCUUGGUAGGUUGGAUGUGAAAGCCCAGGGCUCAACCCUGGAACUGCAUUCAAAACCCCCUGGCUUGAGUACGGGAGAGGAAAGUGGAAUUCCUGGUGUAGAGGUGAAAUUCGUAGAUAUCAGGAGGAACACCAGUGGCGAAAGCGACUUUCUGGCCCGAUACUGACGCUCAUGGACGAAAGCGUGGGUAGCAAACAGG